GGGCUCCGGGGGAAGUAUGGUUGCAAAGCUGAAACUUAAAGGAAUUGAGGGAAGGGCACCACCAGGAGUGGAGCGUGCGGCUUAAUUCGACUCAACACGGGAAAACUCACCCGGCCCGGACACUGUGAGGAUUGACAGAUUGAUAGCUCUUUCUUGAUUCGGUGGUUGGUGGUGCAUGGCCGUUCUUAGUUGGUGGAGCGAUUUGUCUGGUUAAUUCCGAUAACGAACGAGACUUUGACCUACUAAAUAGUUCGCCUGUCCUCUGUGCUCGUGCAGAUUGCGGCUUCUAUUGCCUCUUUAAAGGGUGAAAGGGUCGUAAAUCGGUGGGUACGGUGCAGGUGUUAACUUCUUAGAGGGACAAGCGGCGCACAAGUCGCACGAAAUUGAGCAAUAACAGGUCUGUGAUGCCCUUAGAUGUCCGGGGCCGCACGUGCGCUACAAUGACGGUGUCAGCGAGUCUGGAAACCUGGCCCGAAAGGGUUGGGCAAACUGUUCCAUCACCGUCGUGACUGGGAUCGGGGCUUGCAAUUAUUCCCCGUGAACGAGGAAUUCCUGGUAAG
rnacentral:rRNA from 1 species